rnacentral:rRNA from 1 species
UACGAAGGUCCCAAGCGUUGUUCGGAAUCACUGGGCGUAAAGGGAGCGUAGGCGGCGUGGUAAGUCAGAUGUGAAAUCCCGGGGCUCAACCCCGGAACUGCAUCCGAUACUGCCAUGCUAGAGGAUUGGAGAGGUAGCUGGAAUUCCUGGUGUAGCGGUGGAAUGCGCAGAUAUCAGGAGGAACACCAAUAGCGAAGGCAGCUCGCUGGGACGUUACUGACACUGAGGCGCGAAAGCGUGGGGAGCGAACAGG